UUUGAAAAGCAGACAUGUGUUAAAAGGGAAGCAGGUGGAAGUCCUGCACGAUCUCGUCACUGUAAGCCGGGAGUAUACAUUCGAUAUCGGAAGAUAACCACUGGCCGCAAGGCUGGGAAGGGGAAUGUGUAUGAGGAUCGGUAAGUCAGGAAACCUGCCGUGUAUU
rnacentral:ncRNA from 1 species